rnacentral:rRNA from 1 species
AGUGAACGCUGGCGGUAGGCCUAACACAUGCAAGUCGAACGGCAGCACAGUAAGAGCUUGCUCUUACGGGUGGCGAGUGGCGGACGGGUGAGGAAUACAUCGGAAUCUACUUUUUCGUGGGGGAUAACGUAGGGAAACUUACGCUAAUACCGCAUACGACCUACGGGUGAAAGCAGGGGAUCUUCGGACCUUGCGCGAUUGAAUGAGCCGAUGUCGGAUUAGCUAGUUGGCGGGGUAAAGGCCCACCAAGGCGACGAUCCGUAGCUGGUCUGAGAGGAUGAUCAGCCACACGGGAACUGAGACACGGUCCAGACUCCUACGGGAGGCAGCAGUGUGGAAUAUUGGACAAUGGGCGCAAGCCUGAUCCAGCCAUACCGCGUGGGUGAAGAAGGCCUUCGGGUUGUAAAGCCCUUUUGUUGGGAAAGAAAAGCAGCAGGUUAAUACCCCGCUGUUCUGACGGUACCCAAAGAAUAAGCACCGGCUAACUUCGUG